rnacentral:lncRNA from 1 species
CAAACAAAUCAUGGCCAAUGAUUUGUCAGGAGGGAUGUAGACUAUAAAUAUUCUAAGCAUAGAUCUACAGCCUUGUUUCAUAAUCUAGUGAUGUAUGAUUGCAAUCUUCGUUGUAUUGUGAGAGGAGAGCAAAUAAGUUGUAACUUGUGUUAUUUUAUAAUUUGCUAGUGCUUUGUAGCCUCCACUUGAAUCUCUCAUUUGUGUUGAUUCGCUUGGAAUUAGGAGAAUGAGAGUGAAGAUCAUCAGGAAUAUGUAAUAGAAAUUUCAUGACCCGACAAGAAUAUAGGCUUCACUUCACGAGUUGACAUCUACAUCUACGUUGCAACCUAGAGACUUAAUCACCUUCGUUUCAUGUGCACCUAAUUAAUUUUCACAGGCUGCACCUGCAGCUCCUGGUCCCUCUUGACCCACCUUGGCCCCAACUGCUAUUCCCUUUCUCAAAGGGUGAUAUUUUUGUACCUCAACCUUCCAUUCAAUUGACACAUCAGAUCAUGACUCUUGCAUUUGCAGCUUCUAUACUUGCUCUAGUCUUCGCACCC